rnacentral:rRNA from 1 species
AUUGAACGCUAGCGGGAUGCUUUACACAUGCAAGUCGAACGAGUGGCGGACGGGUGAGUAAUAUCUCGGCACGUGCCCAGUAGCGGGGGAUAACUACUCGAAAGAGUGGCUACUACCGCAUACUAUUGGAGCGGCCGAUAUCGUAUUAGCUAGUUGGUGGGGUAAAGGCUCACCAAGGCAACGAGCCGUAGCCGGUUUGAGCGUACGACCAGCCAAAGUGGGACUGAGACACGGCCCAGACUCCUACGGGAGACAGCAGUGGGGAAUUUGGGACAAUGGGGGAAACCCGGUACCAGCCAUCCCGCGUGUAUGAGAAGGCCGUCGGGUUGUAAAGUACGUUAGGCAGAGAAGCGGUAUCUGCAGAAUAAGCACCGGCUAACUACGUGCCAGCAGCCGCGGUAAUAC